GCCUAAUACAUGCAAGUCGAGCGGAUCAGAUAGGAGCUUGCUCCUUGACGAUUAGCGGCGGACGGGUGAGUAACACGUGGGCAACCUACCUGUAAGACUGGGAUAACUCGCGGAAACGCGAGCUAAUACCGGAUAAUUUCUUUCUUCACAUGAAGAGAGGUUGAAAGACGGCUUUGCUGUCACUUACAGAUGGGCCCGCGGCGCAUUAGUUAGUUGGUGAGGUAACGGCUCACCAAGGCCACGAUGCGUAGCCGACCUGAGAGGGUGAUCGGCCACACUGGGACUGAGACACGGCCCAGACUCCUACGGGAGGCAGCAGUAGGGAAUCUUCCGCAAUGGACGAAAGUCUGACGGAGCAACGCCGCGUGAGUGAAGAAGGUUUUCGGAUCGUAAAACUCUGUUAUCAGGGAAGAACAAGUAUCGGAGUCACUGCCGGUACCUUGACGGUACCUGACCAGAAAGCCACGGCUAACUACGUGCCAGCAGCCGCGGUAAUACGUAGGUGGCAAGCGUUGUCCGGAAUUAUUGGGCGUAAAGCGCGCGCAGGCGGUUUUCUAAGUCUGAUGUGAAAUCUUGCGGCUCAACCGUGAGCGGUCAUUGGAAACUGGAGAACUUGAGUGCAGAAGCGAAGAGCGGAAUUCCACGU
rnacentral:rRNA from 1 species